GGCCACAUUAUCCAGUAGGAGGUGCACUACUCGUGCACUGUGUUCAACCAUUCAGUCAAUCACAAGUGCUGCUGUGAAGAGAACAAUUGUCAGACUGAAUGUUGAACAUCAGCUAGUUUCUCCUGUUGAUUUAAACCUUGUUGUAGAGAUGGAACAUUGGCUGUGGAUUAUUCUUGCUGCUCUUUUCUUUGAGUGUAAAGGAGAAGACAGAGUUACCCAGACAACAGGAGAUGUCAUCGCUACUGAAGGACACACACUCACACUGGACUGUACAUUUGUGACCAGUUACCCAAGUCCCACUUUGUUCUGGUACAAACAGGAAGUUCAUGAUUCCCCAAAGUCUAUCCUGCAACGCUACUCUGGAGCAAAGGAUGCUGGAGACGUUCAGAAAGACAGAAUUGAUGCUACAGUCGACAAGAAAUCAGUUCCUCUGAGGAUCCAGAAGCUUCAGCUGUCAGACUCUGCUGUGUACUACUGUGCUCUGCAGCCCACAGUGACAGGAAACACCUAAACUCUGUACAAAAACCUUUGGAGCAAAGACAACACAAUACUCCACAACGUCCACUAGAGGGAGUCACACUCUGUUCCACUUCAACAGGAGAUGAUGAUCCAG